rnacentral:rRNA from 1 species
GCGUUGUACGGAAUUACUGGGCGUAAAGCGCACGUAGGCGGUUACUCAAGUCAGAGGUGAAAGCCCGGGGCUCAACCCCGGAACUGCCUUUGAAACUAGGUGACUGGAAUCUUGGAGAGGCGAGUGGAAUUCCGAGUGUAGAGGUGAAAUUCGUAGAUAUUCGGAAGAACACCAGUGGCGAAGGCGACUCGCUGGACAAGUAUUGACGCUGAGGUGCGAAAGCGUG